rnacentral:rRNA from 1 species
CUUAGCAUGAAGUCAGACAAGAGAAACCCGCUGAAUUUAAGCAUAUAAGUAAG